AGAUGUAAGGAUGGUCUGGCUGCAACAUCUGUCACCCCAGCGUUCACCAGGGUUGAUUCAGCUGAUCUGGUUGGCUAGGUGGGUGUGCCCGCCUGCCUCACACUGCAUGUGCAUCCCUCCUGAAGCUGCAUGCUUGGUUGAAGAAGACAACAUUCCACAGUAGAAGAGGGGCAUUGUCUGGUGAAGUGUACAUAAGUACCUGUAUUCCCCUGUUAGAACCUCCAAAUAAGCUAAGGUCCAUUUAUAGGAGAACAUAGGGCAGUCAAGCUUCUAAGACUCCAGACACAUCCAAAUGAAGUGCUGCAUGUGGCAGUCUGCUUUUCUUU
rnacentral:snRNA from 1 species